UACGUAGGUGGCGAGCGUUUGUCCGGAUUUAUUGGGCGUAAAGGGCGCGCAGGUGGUGCGGUAAGGCUGCCGUGAAAUCUCCCGGCUCAACUGGGAGGGGGCGGUGGCGACUGCCGGACUGGAGGCACUCAGAGGCCGGUGGAAUUCCCGGUGUAGUGGUGAAAUGCGUAGAGAUCGGGAGGAACACCAGUGGCGAAGGCGGCCGGGCUGGGGGGUGACCUGGA
rnacentral:rRNA from 1 species